rnacentral:rRNA from 1 species
UACGUAGGUGGCAAGCGUUGUCCGGAUUUACUGGGCGUAAAGAGCGCGCAGGCGGUCGUUCAAGUCGCGUGUGAAAGCCCCCGGCUCAACUGGGGAGGGUCACGCGAUACUGAUCGACUCGAAGGCAGGAGAGGGUAGUGGAAUUCCCGGUGUAGUGGUGAAAUGCGUAGAUAUCGGGAGGAACACCGAUGGCGAAGGCAGCCCCCUGGGUCAAGAUUGACGCUCAUGCACGAAAGCGUGGGGAGCAAACAGG